GCCUGUGUGGCGAAACGGCAUACGCGCUAGGUUUAGAACCUAGUGACUUCGGUCUUGAGGGUUCGACUCCCUCCAUGGGUA
rnacentral:tRNA from 1 species